rnacentral:rRNA from 1 species
AGUGUAGGCGGCUGCGUAAGUCGGAUGUGAAAGCCCUGGGCUCAACCUGGGAAUGGCAUUCGAAACUGCGCAGCUAGAGUCUGAUAGAGGGAAGUGGAAUUCCAGGUGUAGCGGUGAAAUGCGUAGAUAUCUGGAGGAACAUCAGUGGCGAAGGCGGCUUCCUGGAUCAAGACUGACGCUGAGGCUCGAAAGCGUGGGGAGCAAACAGGAUUAGAUACCCUGGUAGUCC